rnacentral:rRNA from 1 species
GACGAACGCUGGCGGCGUGCCUAAUACAUGCAAGUCGAGCGGAAGUUGGAGAGCUUGCUCUUCAACUUUGGCGGCGGACGGGUGAGUAACACGUGGGCAACCUGCCCUGCAGAUCGGGAUAACUCCGGGAAACCGGUGCUAAUACCGAAUAGUUUUCGCCACCUCCUGGUGGCGUACGGAAAGACGGUUUCGGCUGUCACUGCAGGAUGGGCCCGCGGCGCAUUAGCUAGUUGGUGGAGUAACGGCCCACCAAGGCGACGAUGCGUAGCCGACCUGAGAGGGUGGUCGGCCACACUGGGACUGAGACACGGCCCAGACUCCUACGGGAGGCAGCAGUAGGGAAUCUUCCGCAAUGGACGAAAGUCUGACGGAGCAACGCCGCGUGAGUGACGAAGGUUUUCGGAUCGUAAAACUCUGUUGUGAGGGAAGAACAGGUACCACUUAACUACUGGUACCUUGACGGUACCUCACCAGAAAGCCACGGCUAACUACGUGCCAGCCGCCGCGGUAA